rnacentral:rRNA from 1 species
UACGAGGGGGGCGAGCGUUGUUCGGAAUUACUGGGCGUAAAGCGCGCGCAGGCGGUCUUCCAAGUCAGUGGUGAAAGCCUGGAGCUCAACUCCAGAACUGCCAUUGAAACUGUUGGACUUGAGUACGAGAGAGGUGAGUGGAAUUCCCAGUGUAGAGGUGAAAUUCGUAGAUAUUGGGAAGAACACCGGUGGCGAAGGCGGCUCACUGGCUCGUAACUGACGCUCAGGCGCGACAGCGUGGGGAUCAAACAGG